rnacentral:rRNA from 1 species
UACGUAGGGGGCAAGCGUUGUCCGGAUUUAUUGGGCGUAAAGAGCGUGUAGGCGGUUAUGUAGGUCCGCUGUGAAAACUGGAGGCUUAACCUCCAGACGUCGGUGGAAACCACAUGACUAGAGUCCGGAAGAGGAGAGUGGAAUUCCUGGUGUAGCGGUGAAAUGCGCAGAUAUCAGGAAGAACACCCGUGGCGAAGGCGGCUCUCUGGGACGGUACUGCCGCUGAGACGCGAAAGCGUGGGGAGCGAACAGG